CCUACGGGGUGCUGCAGUGGGGAAUAUUGGACAAUGGGGGCAACCCUGAUCCAGCCAUGCCGCGUGUGUGAAGAAGGCCCUCGGGUUGUAAAGCACUUUCAGUGAGGAAGAACGCCUGGUGGUUAAUACCCAUCAGGAAAGACAUCACUCACAGAAGAAGCACCGGCUAACUCCGUGCCAGCAGCCGCGGUAAUACGGAGGGUGCGAGCGUUAAUCGGAAUUACUGGGCGUAAAGCGCGCGUAGGUGGCUUGAUAAGCCGGUUGUGAAAGCCCCGGGCUCAACCUGGGAACGGCAUCCGGAACUGUCAAGCUAGAGUGCAGGAGAGGAAGGUAGAAUUCCCGGUGUAGCGGUGAAAUGCGUAGAGAUCGGGAGGAAUACCAGUGGCGAAGGCGGCCUUCUGGACUGACACUGACACUGAGGUGCGAAAGCGUGGGUAGCAAACAGGAUUAGAUACCCUGGUAGUC
rnacentral:rRNA from 1 species